GAUGAACGCUGGCGGCGUGCCUAAUACAUGCAAGUCGAGCGAACAGACGAGGAGCUUGCUCCUCUGACGUUAGCGGCGGACGGGUGAGUAAAACGUGGAUAACCUACCUAUAAGACUGGGAUAACUUCGGGAAACCGGAACUAUUACCGGAUUAUAUAUUGAACCGCAUGGUUCAAUAGUGAAAGACGGUUUUGCUGUCACUUAUAGAUGGAUCCGCGCCGCAUUAGCUAGUUGGUAAGGUAACGGCUUACCAAGGCAACGAUGAGUAGCCGACCUGAGAGGGUGAUAGGCCACACUGGAACUGAGACACGGUCCAGACUCCUACGGGAGGCAGCAGUAGGGAAUCUUCCGCAAUGGGCGAAAGCCUGACGGAGCAACGACGCGUGAGUGAUGAAGGUCUUCGGAUCGUAAAACUCUGUUAUUAGGGAAGAACAAAUGUGUAAGUAACUAUGCACGUCUUGACGGUACCUAAUCAGAAAGCCACGGCUAACUACGUG
rnacentral:rRNA from 1 species